rnacentral:rRNA from 1 species
GAGUAAUGUCUGGGAAACUGCCUGAUGGAGGGGGAUAACUACUGGAAACGGUGGCUAAUACCGCAUAACGUCGCAAGACCAAAGAGGGGGACCUUCGGGCCUCUUGCCAUCAGAUGUGCCCAGAUGGGAUUAGCUAGUUGGUGAGGUAACGGCUCACCAAGGCGACGAUCCCUAGCUGGUCUGAGAGGAUGACCAGCCACACUGGAACUGAGACACGGUCCAGACUCCUACGGGAGGCAGCAGUGGGGAAUAUUGCACAAUGGGCGCAAGCCUGAUGCAGCCA